rnacentral:lncRNA from 1 species
CCUCUCCCUCUCCCUCUCCCCGUCUCCCUCUCCCUCUCCCUCUCCCCGUCUCCCUCUCCCUCUCAUGCCGAGCCAAAGCUGGACGGUACUGCUGCCAUCUCGGCUCACUGCAACCUCCCUGCCUGAUUCUCCUGCCUCAGCCUGCCGAGUGCCUGCGAUUGCAGGCGCGCGCCGCCACGCCUGACUGGUUUUCGUUUUUUUUUUGGUGGAGAUGGGGUUUCGCUGUGUUGGCCGGGCUGGUCUCCAGCUCCUAACCGCGAGUGAUCCGCCAGCCUCGGCCUCCCGAGGUGCCGGGAUUGCAGAUGGAGUCUCGUUCACUCAGUGCUCAAUGGUGCCCAGGCUGGAGUGCAGUGGCGUGAUCUCGGCUUGCUACAACCACCUCCCAGCCGCCUGCCUUGGCCUCCCAAAGAGCCGAGAUUGCAGCCUCUGCCCGGCCGCCACGCCGUCUGGGAAGUGAGGAGCGUCUCUGCUUGGCCACCCAUCGUCUGGGAUAUGAGGAGCCCCUCUGCCUGGCUGCCCAGUGUGGAAAGUGAGGAGCGUCUCUGCCCGGCCGCCAUCCCAUCUAGGAAGCGAGAAGCGCCUCUUCCCCGCCGCCAUCCCAUCUAGGAAGUGAGGAGCGUCUCUGCCCGGCCGCCCAUCGUCUGAGAUGUGGGGAGCACCUCUGCCCCACCGCCCUGUCUGGGAUGUGAGGAGCGCCUCUGCUGGGCCGCAACCCUGUCUGGGAGGUGAGGAGUGUCUCUGCCCGGCCGCUCCGUCUGAGAAGUGAGGAAACCCUCUGCCUGGCAACCGCCCCGUCUGAGAAGUGAGGAGCCCCUCCGUCUGGCAACCACCCCGUCUGGGAAGUGAGGAGCGUCUCCGCCCGGCAGCCACCCCGUCCGGGAGGGAGGUGGGGGGGGUCAGCCCCCCGCCCGGCCAGCCGCCCCGUCCGGGAGGUGAGGGGCUCCUCUGCCCGGCCGCCCCUACUGGGAAGUGAGGAGCCCCUCUGCCCGGCCAGCCGCCCCGUCCGGGAGGGAGGCGGGGGGGGGUGGUCGGCCAUCCGCCCCGUCCGGGAGGUGAGGGGCGCCUCUGCCCGGCCGCCCCUACUGGGAAGUGAGGAGCCCCUCUGCCCGGCCAGCCGCCCCGUCCGGGAGGGAGGUGGGGGGGUCAGCCCCCCUUCCGGCCGGCUGCCCCGUCCGGGAGGUGAGGGGCGCCUCUGCCCGGCCGCCCCUACUGGGAAGUGAGGAGCCCCUCUGCCUGGCCAGCCGCCCCGUCCGGGAGGGCGGUGGGGGGGUCAGCCCCCCGCCCGGCCAGCCGCCCCAUCUGGGAGGUGAGGGGCGCUUCUGCCGGGCCGCCCCUACUGGGAAGUGAGGAGCCCCUCUGCCCGGCCACGACCCCGUCUGGGAGGUGUGCCCAGCGGCUCAUUGGGGAUGGGCCAUGAUGACAAUGGCGGUUUUGUGGAAUAGAAAGGCGGGAAGGGUGGGGAAAAAAUUGAGAAAUCGGAUGGUUGCCGGGUCUGUGUGGAUAGAAGUAGACAUGGGAGACUUUUCAUUUUGUUCUGUACUAAGAAAAAUUCUUCUGCCUUGGGAUCCUGUUGAUCUGUGACCUUAUCCCCAACCCUGUGCUCUCUGAAACAUGUGCUGUGUCCACUCAGGGUUAAAUGGAUUAAGGGCGGUGCAAGAUGUGCUUUGUUAAACAGAUGCUUGAAGGCAGCAUGCUCGUUAAGAGUCAUCACCACUCCCUAAUCUUAAGUACCCAGGGACACAAACACUGCGGAAGGCCGCAGGGUCCUCUGCCUAGGAAAACCAGAGACCUUUGUUCACUUGUUUAUCUGCUGACCUUCCCUCCACUAUUGUCCUGUGACCCUGCCAAAUCCCCCUCUGCGAGAAACACCCAAGAAUGAUCAAUAAAAAAAAAAAAAAAAAAAAAAGAAUUUGAACCAGAAAU